rnacentral:rRNA from 1 species
GAACUGAAGAGUUUGAUCAUGGCUCAGAUUGAACGCUGGCGGCAGGCCUAACACAUGCAAGUCGAGCGGAUGAAGGGAGCUUGCUCCUGGAUUCAGCGGCGGACGGGUGAGUAAUGCCUAGGAAUCUGCCUGGUAGUGGGGGAUAACGUCCGGAAACGGGCGCUAAUACCGCAUACGUCCUGAGGGAGAAAGUGGGGGAUCUUCGGACCUCACGCUAUCAGAUGAGCCUAGGUCGGAUUAGCUAGUUGGUGGGGUAAAGGCCUACCAAGGCGACGAUCCGUAACUGGUCUGAGAGGAUGAUCAGUCACACUGGAACUGAGACACGGUCCAGACUCCUACGGGAGGCAGCAGUGGGGAAUAUUGGACAAUGGGCGAAAGCCUGAUCCAGCCAUGCCGCGUGUGUGAAGAAGGUCUUCGGAUUGUAAA